GACGUAGGGUGCGAGCGUUGUCCGGAUUUAUUGGGCGUAAAGAGCUCGUAGGCGGCUCGUCGCGUCGACCGUGAAAACCCGCGGCUUAACUGCGGGCUUGCGGUUGAUACGGGCGGGCUAGAGUUCGGUAGGGGAGACUGGAAUUCCUGGUGUAGCGGUGAAAUGCGCAGAUAUCAGGAGGAACACCGAUGGCGAAGGCAGUUCUCUGGACCAAUACUGACGCUGAGACGCGAAAGCGUGGGGAGCAAACAGG
rnacentral:rRNA from 1 species